rnacentral:lncRNA from 1 species
ACAGUAUGUGGGAAUUAUGGGAGCUAUAAUUCAAGAUGAGAUUUGGGUGGGACACAGCCAAACCAUAUCACUAGGUAAGAAGAGGGCUCCAUGCUAAGGAACAGGAUAUGCAAAGACCCUGUGGCAGGAGGAACUCUACCUGCUUUUUUGAAGAAUUCCAUAAGGUAGCCUUCAGUGGAGCUGAGUAGAGAGUGGGGGAGAGUGGGCUAAAACAUGAGGGGAGAAGUAGGCAAAAGCUAAAUCUCAUCAGGACCUUAUAGACAAUUGACAGAUGUUUGUCUUUAUCCAGUAAGGUGUUUGUAUGCUCCUUAAGUGGCAGCGGGGAGUGAGCAGAGCAGUGAAGAUAAACAUGAAAGCUGGUGGUAACAAAUUCUGAUACCUCCUCUAUUCCAAAAGGAAAGGCAGAACUCAGAGGCACCAUCCUCCUGUUGUGUUUGCAAGCUGUUGACACAACCUGGAAAGGUUAAAAGUUUUCAACAGACUUGUCAGAGUUUGUGUUCAAUGGAAACUGACAGAGCCUACCGGCUGAGGGGCUAAUUUUAAUAGAAAUAACCUAGGUGCGUUUGUUAAUUUUCUCCGUUCCCUCAAUGACCUGUCUGCAUAGCGUGAAGGUGCUUUGAUGUGACCAGGAGAACAGAAGGAUAUUUUGUGCAUAGCUGACCGUGAGAGGAAUGCUGGUUUUGCAAUGAGGAAGCACAGGAAGAUGACAGAACAAUGAGCAUAAGACAUGCUGGGUGCAUUUUUUGGACCUUACCACAUCUUGUUUGAGAGAAGUGGGACCAAUGCUGAUGAAACUCUUUCCCAUGGUGUGUUCUAUAUUCAUUGGAUGGGCAUCGCCUACGGCUGGAGCAGGGCUGAGCUCUGUACUGGUGUCUCUUAAAACACACCAGACAGCAACAGCUGAGAUACCUACUACCUGGAUCUGCUUGAUUAGAUCAUACGGUCAUAUUUGAUUACUUAGAAUGGGCUUCUGGAGGAUCUGUUGCUGAUUGCACUGAAACCAGAAGUUGUACUUGGCCAAGGACGAGCUAACCCCAAACAGCAAGAGGUUUGAGUUGGCUCCAAAGCACAAGCCUCACAAAUAUCCCGUGAGUCUCCCACAGGCUUGGGGCUCUCUGUUUAGAAUUAGAACCUAAUCUUCAAAUAUCCCUUUACCCUCUUGCCUCAAAAAGGAAGGCAGUGAAGAGCAGCAGCAAGGCAUCCUGGAUGAGCACUGGAAGGGGAGAAUGCUCAUGUUUUAGUCGUGGGCUUUCCACCAGUUAGCUGUGCAGCUUUGGGCAGAUACUUGAACUUCUCUGGUGCUCUGUUUCUUCAUGUUUAAAUGAGAGGAUUAAACUGUAUGACUUUUGGGUCGAAAGUACGUCUCUGCCAUCAGUAUCAUAACAAUUAUUGAAAUUGCUGCCUAGAAUCUUCCGCUACCACAGUGUAUUUUGAUUGGACUGUUUAUUGCCUUAGCAAACACAAUGCAGUGCUGUGUCUUUGGCAUCUUGCCAGGAAAGAUGAGCCAAUUUUCUCGUGUUGCUUCUGGAUGUCAAAACAUUCUCAUCUGACCAUGCCACAGAAGAAGUUUGUUGAGAGUGUGACUGACUGACAUAAUGACUGAUUGGCUGAUAACGGCAGCUGACAGUGAUUGAUUGAGUGUAAAAUUAUCUGUUCUCAUUACUUCUGAAAUUGAAUUCAGAUUGGUUCUAUUGGAGGGUUUCCAUGGAGACCAUAACCUGCUAUAGCAAGUGUUUGUGGAUGCAAUGUUUUAUUGUGAUCAAUACCUGUUUCCUCUGCUGGUCCAAAGAAAUUAUUAAUGAUUAUAGUCAAGUAGAAAGAGGCAACCAUAUAUAAGAAGAAAAAAACUCUCAUAUUUUGUCUCAUUGCUACAUAAAACAAAUGUGGGCCUUCCCAGACUUGCGCUUUGGCUAACUAGUUCAUAAUACGUUCGAUAACUUGCCAUUCUUCUUUUGCUAUUAAUGCAGAGGGUUUGCUUUGGAAAAAAGAAAAGUAUUUCUAGGACUCUUUCUCUCUUUGAAGAAGAUCAGAAUAAUAGACGAAUGUUCAUACUUGGUUUUUUUUUAAAUGCGAUGUUACAGAAACAACAAACAUUUAAUCAAAUCUUAAACACACCCAUGUUAAUGCAGAGACAGAGAUGGUCCCUCAGGCUUUUUCUGGGUUGUUUCCAUGAAUGAUAAAGUCAUUAAACAAUUUCAUAGGCUUGCCUUAUUGAUCUCUCACAAUGGCAUGCUAUGUCUGCUCUUCAGGAAAGCCUUUCCUGACUGCCCCCAUCAGAGUUAAUUACUACUUACUCUGUGUUCGCAUGGCCUUCUUCCAUCUUCUAUUAUAGCAUUCAUCUCAGGCCACCUUGCCUUACAAUUACUUGUAUCUCUUUUUCCCACUAGAUUAUGACCUCCUUGAGGACAGGGUGAUUUUCUUGUUGCUCUUUGUAUUAUCCUCAGCAUCUAGGUGAAUCUCUGAUACAUCACAAGGGUUCAAUAAAUGCUCAUUGAAUUGAAUUAACUGGAUCUGCAUUCCAAGGUCAUCUCUUCCUAGACUGGUGUUGAAUGGGAUUCCCAUGAAGUGAGGCAGCAGAGUGCGUGCUUGCUGGUUCUGUUGCUUUGUCUCCUGCCCUGUGGCUGCGUCUGUGCCCAAGAGGAUUGUUAGGAUAUAUUGUGCUACAGGAGAUUGAUAUUGUAUAGGAUGUCUGUACAGCUUAUAGACUGGUGCUGACCGUACUGAAAUGAUGGUGGGAGGAUACCUAAUAAGGAUUCUAUUUUAUGCUUAGCUGUAUUCAUUCAUUGGUUUGGUUGGAAUCUGCUUCAGCGUACUUCCUCUACCCAAAUUUGGCUCAUUAGCUGAAAUCACUUUGGGAUGAAUCCACUGUUAAUAGUGGCUAACAUUUUUCAUGCACUUACGACAUGUCUGGCACAGUACUAAGUACUUUACAUAUUUUUCAAUUCUUACACAUUGCUCCCAUUAUCCCAUUUUGAAGAUAAGGAGACUGAAGCACAGAGUGUUUAUUUCCUAAGGUCACACAGCUAGGAAGUAGAGGAGCUAGGAUUUGAAUUCCUAUAGUCUAGCUUCCUACCCCAUUCUUAAGCUAUCUACCCUGUUGCCGCCUGACAAAAGUGUGUUUCAAAAUUUAAUUCCUGAACUGACUGCAUCAAAAUCCCCUGUAGUGUUUGUUAAAAGUGAAGAUACCCCAAGACCUACUGAUUCAGGUUGUUUUCACCGAGGCCAGCAAAUCUGCACCAACAUGUUUUAUUCUGUUCUGUACCUCAAGCUUUGAUGCUGCUUUGUUUUCUUGUUUUGGGAGAAGGGCAGGGGUGGGGGUGGAGGCAAGCGAGUCCAAUACUACAACUUUAGAAAUCUCUGCUCUAGGGUGAACACUCUCUUUGAGACUUCUAAAUUAAAGUCAAGUCUUUUGGAUUUUUGUUUCUUUGUACUGCCUAACUUUAGAAAGACCUGGAAGCGGUAACAUGAAAACAUUUUUAGAGAGAAUUACCAGGCAUUUUUGGUAGAAUGAGUGUUUAAUGGAACAGUCCAGAGAACUCAUCAAAGAUGUUUAUUAAAACGCGCAGACCUGCUCCAAUUAAGGGCCCAGUCAGUGGUGUUAACAGUGAAGGGACUGUUCCAGAGGCGUGCUGCACGGGACGCCCACCCCAAAUACAAAUGGUUUGCCAGUAGCUCACAAAUGAACCCCAUUGCCUUGCACUUAAGCUUCCUGAAGCACAUACAUAUCCUGCUUUGUGCUUUCCGCCCUAUAGUAAACGCAAACCAAUGGAGAUGUGAAGCAAUCUAAUAGCAACAAGGCAAACCUCUACUUCCUCUAAAGAGGAUUGCAUCCUCUUGCUAUCUUUGCCGAUGCUCUCCUACAGACCCAUCCCUGUCAUGUCUUUCCUGUCUUUCUAGUAGAAUUCUGGCUGCUCCCGUAGGACCUCCUUGCGGGAAUUUUCCCUGGUUGCUGCCUCCAAGGAGAGGCUCCCCACCAGAAAGUUUUAAGAGGCUUAUGCUUCUGGGGUUAAUGCGGUCCUUUCUGUCACCUUGUUUUCUGUUCCUAGUUAUCUUUCGGUAACUUUUUUCCUAAACUACUCUGAAAGGCAUAGACUGUCUCUUGAAAGCUCAUCUGUUCUUAACCCCUUUCCCUCAUUCCACUGACUGCAGCAUCUUCCACAUACCAUUCCCUCUUAGCAUUUAUGUCCAUGUCAUGCUUUUGUUGGUUUAUUUGUGUAUUUUCUGCUUCCCACCAUUAGAUCAUUUGUAGAAUUAAUGAAUGCCUAUGGGUUAAUAGAUUUUUCGCUGUAUCCUCUUUUCUCUGUAUCUCUCUGCCCAGUUGCUUAGAAAUGCUUCUGUUUGUGUAUUUGUAUCCACCUUCUUUGGGGAGAGUUAUGACCCUGGUCCUUAUGCCAUCAGUGGUAUUGCAAUUUUGUAUGUAGCAUGACCAUUUUUAAAAAUGACAUUUCAUAGUGAGUGAUUCAGACACCUAUCAUUCAGCUUACCUGCCGGGGCCCUCCAAAAUGAGCAGAAGGCCUCUGUCUCAUUCUAGAAGCUUGAAGGUCUCCACGUGGUUUGCCCAGGGGCCCACAACCUCCCUGCAGUCCAGGAGUGCUCCCAUUAACCCCAGCUGUGUGAUUCAGACCAGAUUCUUAGGACUUUUUAAGUGAAAUGGGACAGAAAAUUGCUUGAUGUAUUUUGCCACAUGAAGUACAUUUUGCUGCCGCUUAGUUCUUUAUUGUCGUUAGAUUAAAAACUCUCCUAACGUUGUGUGGGUAAGUAAAAAUCUUUUUAUUUUUAUCUGGUAUGUUUUGAAAAAAAGGAAAAAAGAAACUAGACAUUGUCAAAAUAUUUGCUUAAUCUUGCAGAUUUGGGAAGUUGUAUAGCCACUCGCUCUGACAGACCAGAACAAUGGUCAUUAAAUGAGAAGCAGAUGUAAUAAAGUAUGCAGUAAAAGCCUUCUAUUAUGGGCUGGAAGGGGAAAAAAAUGAGUUGUUAACAGAACACAGUAAGCAUUAUGGAAUAAAUCAGAACAAAACCAUUCCCAAUUACUGUACAAAGAUAAUUAAAGUCUACAAUGCUAAUUAAGGUCUGUUUAUAUCUAUUUCUGUUUGUGUACAAACAUAUGCGCAUAGUUAAAUAUUUUCCAUUGUUUUUUAUGUGAUGCUAACUUCAUAGUUGAAUUUUUCUGAAUUUAACUUUUGUUUUUAUGUUACCAGGAAGUACAAUCUCCAGAAAACUGAAACUCCAGCUUUUCCUCCUUGAUCGUAGCUUAUUUUUCUUGGCUAACUUCAGAAAAUUCUUCAAGCCAGGAGGCUUUCUAAGCUUACUCCUGAUGCAGUUAAAACUCAAAGGUUUCUGGAAGCCAAUGAAAAUCCUCACCUCUGACUGAAAUGGAAUUUCAAGGGAAAGAAAAUACAACGUAUUUUAUGAGUCACAAAGACUGUCUGAGUCGCAUUUUCAUCUCUAGAAACUGGAAGAAGUUCUAAGAGUGUGAGGUAAUGACUCAAGGACAACAGCUCCCAGAAAAUAACAGGGUUUGCCCUGCUGCUUUGGAGGAGGUUCUCCUGAAUCAUGUCACUGAAGCACAGCUAGGGCCCGGGACCUGGGACCACAGCCCUUGAAGGGAAUGAGCGGCUGUCUGGGGGCUGAAAGUUCUCUCAGGAGAGGCGUUUUCACAAGGCUUUGUGAUACCGAGCCUCAGGCGUGGACAGAGACGUGUUUUAGGAUUUGAGAAGCCUGUGGAGAAAUUAAGUCAUGUCCCAGUGUACAGUGCUAUGCCAUAAGAAUGGCUAGAACUUUCAGGGGCAUCCUGGAGCUUGACCCUGGCUCAUCAUUUUAUACAUGAAGGGGCUUUGGGUCACGGAGGCAUGGGUUUGCGUCCUGUCUGUUUGAUUCAUUAGAUAUGUGAUCUGGGCCUAAAACUUCGGAGAUCUUAAACACCGAAAACCUUGGGGCACUUUUGCCUUGCUCCCAACCAUGAAAUACAAAAACCAAAGCAAAACAAACAAAAAGUAAGCCAGAAGAUAUAAAAUUGCUUAUAGGUCUGUUGUCUAACAUCAAGUGCGGAAAGGGGUCUAACAAAUUUCCAGCUGGGUGCGGUGGCUCACACCUUUAAUCCCAGCACUUUGGGAGGCUGAGGCAGGCAGAUUGCUUGAGCUCAA